CCUAUUAACGAAACCAAUCCAGGAAAGGCUCAGCAGAAGGUGGAACAAGAUUUCAGUUGGGGUUUCAGGACUUCAAUCCGGAAGUUCCUGGAACAAUGAUCUACCCUCCAGGAUCCAGUCACAGCACCUGCAAAUCUCCAGGUUUGCUUCCUCCAUUUUAAGCAGGUGUCUGUCAUUAGCAGCCGGGAGACCUAAGGGUCCCACCCUGAGGGUUCGCGAUUCAGAUUCCAGGUCCAAAUCCCUUCGGAGUUAUCUGCCUAGAGUAGCUGUUUCUCAAGCUGUAACCCGAGGAGUUUGCGCUUUAGCUGUUAAGGCACAUUGCUGAGCCCCCGUCCCGACCAACGGAAACGGAUCCUAGGGUGUCGGCUGCGAGUGGGACGGGUGAGCAUGUUUUACAAGCUCCUGGGUGAUCUUAAGGCUCAAGUUUGAGAGCACUGGCCGACCUCGGCUCUACAUUUCCACUCUCCUCCCUCCGGGUCCGAAUCAGGUGAUCCCGCCCGUCUGGCCACAGCUGAUUGGGUGAAGAGACGAUACCCGUCCGAACCGAGCCAAUCAGUUUGCUUCCCCCCAAACACGGAACUAGGGUUUAGGAACCCACUGAGUCCUGGAGGCUGUUUAAACCUCUCUCCCCAACCCACACCAAGAAGUGGAAAAGGUAGCUCAGCAGAGGCAGGCGAAGGAGGGAACAACUGAGAAGAGGCAGGACAAUGCCAGACCAAUGUGGAAAAGAAUGAGAUAGAUCCCUGCAUCCAAACAUGGAAAGAUAUCCAAGAACUUGCCCUGAGAUAAUUUAGGACUCGUGAGAAAGCUGGCUCAGAAGAUGUUCAUCAGAACACGGCCUGGAAAAGGAGAACAGUGGGAAGCAGCCUAGGUGCCCAGCAUCAGGUGAAUGAACGCUACACUAGCCAGAAUCCUGCUGCAAAUUCCUGAUGAUGUGCAAAGGUCUUCAUGGCCCAUUCACAAACAUUUUUAUUGCAAAAAAAGGACAUCUCACUUUGAAAAUAUUUAAGCCCUAAAGAAAAGUAUAAAGUAAAAGCCAAAAGGUC